AGACGUGGUCGAGGCGGGUCAAAGUGUAUUAUCUGUUCGUAUCAGCCUAAUAUCUGAUUCGGAAUGUAUUUGGAUCCAAGAAAAUAAACUUAUUUUUGCAAGUUGGGGGAGUUCCUGAAGAUCUGCUUCACCUCCGCCGCGGGUCGGCCCGGUAUUGCACAAUCCCCGGAAUCAACCCACGGUUU